rnacentral:rRNA from 1 species
UACAGAGGUCUCAACCGUUGUUCGGAUUCAUUGGGCGUAAAGGGUGCGUAGGGCGGCGGGGUAAGUCAGGUGUGAAAUCUCGGGGCUCAACCCCGAACUGCACUUGAUAACUGCCUCGCUUGAGUACUGGAGAGGAGACUGGAAUUUGACGGUGUAGCAGUGAAAUGCGUAGAUAUCGAUAAGGAAGACCAGUGGCGAAGGCGAGCUCUGGACAGUUACUGACGCUGAGGCACGAAGGCCAGGGGAGCAAACGGG